AUGCCAGGAAAAAGUGCAUUUCAUCUCCAGAAUGCUCUCCACUCAAACCACAAACUGCAAGAAAAAGGAAAGUCAAAGGUGAAAAAACUCUUCCAUGAGGCAGAUUCAGAAGUCUCUCAAUCGGAAAUUUUGCGGAAGGCGAAGUCAGAAAAAAUUGUAGAAAAAGAUUCUCUACCACCCACGUCGGUUCUACCCAACAGCACCAAUAAGGAACUGUCGCUUGAUGUAAGUAAACUUAAUGAAAAGUCCAAAUCAUAUCAAGACCAGGAGAAUACAAUCGGUGCAUCACAAGAAAAAAUAAAAGAAACCUCUCAGUUUUCGCCACCAAAAAAGAAGACAAAAUCAAAAAGUAAAUCUGAUCCUAAAAGCAGCACAAUGCCAAAAGUAAAAUUAAGCCCUAAAAAACGCAGCAAGAAGAAAAACAUAACGAUCUCUCCGGCUAAGUUAUCUCCUGCACCUUCUUGCUCCAUUAAUGAGCCCAGUGCCAGCUCAAAAAUCAGUUCUUCGUCCACAGACUGCUCUCCAGUUAAACCAGUGUUAGCAAUUGACAAGAAAAUGGAGGGAGAAAUAUUCUCUCCUGAGGCAGAUUCAAAAGCCAACCAAUCGAAAAAUGCGCAGAAGGUCAAGUCCGAAAAAAUUUCAGAAACUGAUGCUCAAACGCCCAUAUCUAUUCAACCCAAUAGCUUCAAUGAUGAUGUGUUGCUUGAUGAAGGUAAAAUUAUCGAAAAGUUAAAAUUAGACCAAAAUAACGCAUCACAGGAAAAAUCAGAAGAGACCGGCCAGCCCAUGGAGCAAUCGGAAAGCAGCCCUGAGAAAUCUAACCCGAAAACCAGAGUAAUGUCAGAAGUCAAACUAAGUCCAAAUAAAUGCGGGGAUCAGAAAACCAUGCAGAUUUUUACAAUGAAGAUACCUCCUGAACCCUCUAGCUCCGUCACUAAACCAAAUGUCAGCCCAACAAAAAGCUUUUCACCUCCAGAACUAUCUCUAAAAGAACUUGCUGCAAAAGAAAGAAAAACAGAAGGUGAAAAUUUCUCUUGCAAGACAGAUGCAGAAAUCAGCCCAGUUUUACCAAAACUCUCACCUCAUAAACCAAAGACAUCAGAGAAAGGUAAGAAUUAUGAUAAGUUUCUUGAUGCAGCUAAAGCUAUUGAAAAGCCCAAAUCGGGUCAAGAUGCAGGGAAUGCAAUCUGUGCAAUACAGGAAAAAUCAAGAGGGACACAACAGUUUUCGGAGCCAAAAAAGCAGACUGAAUCAAAAUGCAGCCCUACUAAGUCUUAUCCUGAAACUAGCACAAUGCCAAAAGCCAAACUAAACCCCAACAAACGGGACGGUGUGAAAAACAUGAAGAUUUCACCGAUGAUUGUAUCUCCUGCACCUUCUAGCUCUGAUAGUAAGCCAAAUGCCAGCACGAUCUCCAGCUUUUCAUCUCCUGUUAGACCACUGUCAGCGAAAGAAAAAGAAAGGGAAGGAGAAAAAUUUUCCUGCAAGAAAAAUUUAGAAGUCAGUCCGUUACUACCCAAAUUCUCACAUCAUGGACCAAAUUCAAUGAAGCCUGUGAUUAAUAUUCUAGCUGAUGAAGACAUUAAAAAAAGUUGCAGUUCCACUUUGCCUUCCUCUUCCUCAAACGGUUCGGAGCAGGCUGCUGCAACAACUGAAAAUCAGGCCACUCAAGAUAAUUUCCCUGUGGCAAAGUUCUCCUCCCCAGAAAUAUUGAACAUUUUACAGAGGGCAGAGUCAGAAAUACUCCCGAAAGCUGAUUCGUCAAUUCGUAGGUCUAUUUCAUCCAAUAGAGGUGACGACGAUUUGUUGCUUAAUGCAGGUAAAUUCAUCGAUAAAUCCAAAUCAGACCAAGACCAGAUGAAUGUAAUCUGUGCAUCUCAGAAAAAAUCAGAACAAACCUGUCAGUUUUCAGAGCCAUCUGUCAGCACCAACAAAAGAGAGGAAAGUAUUAUCUACACACCAAAAGAGUCCCUCCAAAAUAUCAUUUAUGUCUCAAGUGACGAAAACUCCCUUCCCUUUAAAAGUGAUGUAGAUCACAAAGCCAACGAAGAAUUUUUGAAAAACUACGGUUUUUGUGUUGAGUAUGAGAUUGAUGACGGGCUGAUAACUAUUUCAACAAAUACAGUAACUGAAGAGUCUGUACUGCUCAGUAUUCCAUCAGCGCAUGAUGACAUGACAACAGAUAUUAUUAAAGAUGUUUACAGAAAGAAAGCGAAUCAAGAAAGAGAUGAUGGAGCUACUCAAAUUCUCAAGAUGGGGCAUGCCUCUGAUCAAUCACUGUGUGCCGAAAAAGAGGACCGAAGUUCUAGGUCCUCUGAAAGUAAGUAUGGACAAGACAAAUAUCAAUUUCACACCCAUGGUAGAGAAAAAUGGAAAAAACAAAAAUCUUUACCCUACAGCGGGCCUGACCAAAAAGGACCCCAUGAAAGACUGAAACACAAGAGCCGAUCCCCAGUUCGAGAAGCUUCGCGCCAGCCUGACCAAAAUGGACCUCAUGAAAGACUGAAACACAAGAGCCGAUCCCAGUUCGAGGAGCUUGGCGCGAGCCUGACCAAAAAGGACCUCAUGAAAGACUGA
rnacentral:lncRNA from 1 species